ACCCCUACGGGGGGCAGCAGUGGGGAAUAUUGGACAAUGGGGGCAACCCUGAUCCAGCAAUGCCGCGUGUGUGAAGAAGGCCUGCGGGUUGUAAAGCACUUUCAAUUGUGAAGAAAGGUUGUAGGUUAAUACCCUGCAAUUUUGACGUUAACUUUAGAAGAAGCACCGGCUAACUCCGUGCCAGCAGCCGCGGUAA
rnacentral:rRNA from 1 species